UGGGGAAUAUUGCACAAUGGGCGCAAGCCUGAUGCAGCCAUGCCGCGUGUAUGAAGAAGGCCUUCGGGUUGUAAAGUACUUUCAGUCGGGAGGAAGGUGGUAAGGUUAAUAACCUUAUCAAUUGACGUUACCGACAGAAGAAGCACCGGCUAACUCCGUGCCAGCAGCCGCGGUAAUACGGAGGGUGCAAGCGUUAAUCGGAAUUACUGGGCGUAAAGCGCACGCAGGCGGUUGAUUGAGUCAGAUGUGAAAUCCCCGGGCUCAACCUGGGAACUGCAUCUGAUACUGGCAAGCUUGAGUCUCGUAGAGGGGGGUAGAAUUCCAGGUGUAGCGAUGAAAUGCGUAGAGAUCUGGAGGAAUACCGGUGGCGAAGGCGGCCCCCUGGACGAAGACUGACGCUCAGGUGCGAAAGCGUGGGGAGCAAACAGG
rnacentral:rRNA from 1 species